GUGUCAGCAGCCGCGGUAAGACGGAGGGUGCGAGCGUUGUUCGGAAUUACUGGGCGUAAAGCGCGCGCAGGUGGGUGCGUAAGUCGGAGGUGAAAGCGCAGGGCUCAACCCUGCGACGCCCUUCGAGACUGCGUGUCUAGGGACCGGUAGAGGUGAGUGGAAUUCCCGGUGUAGCGGUGGAAUGCGUAGAUAUCGGGAAGAACACCGGAGGCGAAGGCGGCUCACUGGGCCGGAUCCGACACUGAGGCGCGAAAGCGUGGGGAGCAAACAGGAUUAGAAACCCUAGUAGUCC
rnacentral:rRNA from 1 species